rnacentral:rRNA from 1 species
GACGAACGCUGGCGGCGUGCUUAACACAUGCAAGUCGAACGGAAAGGCCCUGCUUUUGUGGGGUGCUCGAGUGGCGAACGGGUGAGUAACACGUGAGUAACCUGCCCUUGACUUUGGGAUAACUUCAGGAAACUGGGGCUAAUACCGGAUAGGAGCUCCUGCUGCAUGGUGGGGGUUGGAAAGUUUCGGCGGUUGGGGAUGGACUCGCGGCUUAUCAGCUUGUUGGUGGGGUAGUGGCUUACCAAGGCUUUGACGGGUAGCCGGCCUGAGAGGGUGACCGGCCACAUGGGGACUGAGAUACGGCGCAGACUCCUACGGGAGGCAGCAGUGGGGAAUAUUGCACAAUGGGCGGAAGCCUGAUGCAGAAACGCCGCGUGCGGGAUGACGGCCUUCGGGUUGUAAACCGCUUUCGCCUGUGACGAAGCGUGAGUGACGGUAAUGGGUAAAGAAGCACCGGCUAACUACGUG